CUAGAGGAAAACACUAGGUCUAACAUUGUCGUGGUUAGCUAUUUUUUGCCAUCUUUCCACAAGACCCUGAUGUACAGACACACAAGCAGAGAGUGACAGAGGAUAUUGAAUGUACUGGCUUUACCUGGGAAGAAAUACUACAAGUAGUGAGGAACUAGAUUGCCCAACGUGUCAGUGGCAGGAACUAAGUAUAAGACAAAGGAAAUGCAGAUCUAAUCUAUCUGGAUUCCAAUAAGGCAUUUGAUACAGUUCCGCAUGGAAAUUAUUAGUUAAAUCGGAGAAGAUGGGAAUCAAUAUGAGAAUUGAAAGGUGGACAAGGAACUGGUUAAAGGGGAUACUACAACAAAGCUUUAAGAAUGGAGACUGUCCGGAGGUGCCUGUUCCUACUUCCACUGAAGUCAUUGGGAGUGAGCAUCAGAUGUUUAGCACUCAAACCACUUAUCUAGGUGCCUAAAUAUGGAUGCAGGUGCCUAAUUUUAGGUAUGCCAGUUUGAAAACACUGGCCAUAUAGCCCAUAAAUCUCACCUACAAAUAAGUAUCUCCAUUCUUUACAGACAACCAUUUUGUCUUUUUUUUAACCUCAUUUUUACGAAGCCCAAUCCUAGGAGGAGCUGAGUGCCUCAAUUUCCAUUGAAGCCAAUGGCAAAACUCCCAUUGACUUCAGGGGGAGAAACAUCAGGAUUCUGUUGUCUUUCUAUUUUUGUUUCUUUUCUCCUGCACUCCUCUCUUCUAAGGCCGCCCCGGGGGCAGGGAGGAGGCAAGUGGGGCAAUUUGCCCCAGACCCCGGCGGGGCCCCCACAAGAAUAUAGUAUUCUAUUGUAUUGCAACCUUUUUUAUGGAAGGGGCCCCCGAAAUUGCUUUGCCCAAGGCCCCCUGAAUCCUCUGGGUGGCCCUGCUCUCUUCACUCUCUCUCUUGCUUGAUCCUUCCUUCCUUCCUUCUUUCUCCCCGUUAGGAACCCACUUAAGGAAGCCUAUAAACUGGAAUAAUGAACCCAAGGAGUCAGUACUAUGGUAUGUAAUCACUUUGCUUUUUAUACUAAUAAAACUUAGAUUUUGUUCAUGAACAUAAAAUGUUAUUACAAUAUGCUAACAGAAUAUUUUUCUUGUAUCUUUGCUCAUUUUCAGUUCCUAAAACAAUAGUCUUGGAGUGGGGGGAGGGGAAUUAAUAUAGUUUUCUGUUUGGAUUUUAUCAUUCUCUUGAAGUGCCAGAAACCCAAAUAUUACAGUACUGUGCUAGGGCUUUAGAAUCAAAAAGUGAAACUGAGUCAUCUAUUUUAAUUUUUAAUACUGAGAUAAGUGAAUUUUAUAACUAGCAAAUUUCAAUACUUGUGGAAAAACAAAUCAGAUAUUUUUUAAUUCGUACAAAAUGUUUAUACCUCCUUAGAUUAAUAAUAUGGGAAGGAAAUUUUAUUUCUUAAAUAUGACUUUUAAAAUGACAAAUACUCUGUAGUUCGUACCUAGCAGCACAAGGGUAGCCAUAGUACAAAUUCGGAGCCAAAUGCAACAGUGUUUAAUACUGAUAUGGAUUCCAGGGAAUCCAUAUGUGUGUCAACAUGAAAUGUCCCAUCUUCUUCCAAAUGGAAAGCCAUUUGGAUCAGAAUGGAGCAUUGCGUGCUGGGGUAUUUUGGUGCCAAUUCUGUAAAUGGUUAAACACCUACGGCUGUAGUGGGACUGCUCACUUGCUUAAAAUGAAGCACACUAGUGUUUGCAGGAUCAGGGAUGCUGUCUCAUGGGCCACUUCUUUAUUAAACAGAGGAUGGCUGUAAUGUGCGUCACUUCAUGAAAAUAAAGGCUCUGAUCCUGUAUGGAGCUGAGAGUCUUCAAAACUCAUUGAAAAGAGUUGAGGGAGCCCUGCACCUCACAGGAUAAGAUGUUAAAUGCAGCCCUAUGUUCCUGACAAAUUGACAAUAUUACCCCCCUCAUCCCUCCCUCAAUUGGGCUAAAUCUGGGCACCACAGAUUUAGGAAAGCCAUAAAAUGCAGAUCUCUAAUAAAAUAUUCUCCAAAGCUACCUUAGGAGUUUUUAGGAUAUAUUGAAUCAAUACGUAGUCACAGAGAGAGAGAGAGAGAGAGAGAGA